rnacentral:rRNA from 1 species
UACGAAGGGGGCGAGCGUUGUUCGGAAUUACUGGGCGUAAAGGGCGCGCAGGCGGCUCAGACAGUCAGAUGUGAAAGCCCCGGGCUUAACCUGGGAACUGCAUUUGAUACUACUGAGCUUGAGUACGGGAGAGGAUAGUGGAAUUCCCAGUGUAGAGGUGAAAUUCGUAGAUAUUGGGAAGAACACCGGUGGCGAAGGCGGCGACCUGGUCCGAUACUGACGCUGAGGCGCGAAAGCGUGGGGAGCAAACAGG